rnacentral:rRNA from 1 species
GACACAGGGAGGUAUGUGACAAGAAAUAACAAUACGGGGCUUAAUGUCUUGUAAUUGGAAUGAUGGGAAUUUAAACCUCUUCCAGAGUAUCAAUUGGAGGGCAAGUCUGGUGCCAGCAGCCGCGGUAAUUCCAGCUCCAAUAGCGUAUAUUAAAAUUGUUGCAGUUAAAAAGCUCGUAGUUGAAUUUCUGCUGCAUUACAUAUCUCUUGUUUGAGUUUGUUUUUGUGGCUUAUUUCGGUUUGAUUUUUCUUUCCGGAUGAUUACUUUGAGAAAAUUAGAGUGCUCAAAGCAGGCUUUUGCCUUGAAUAGUUUAGCAUGGAAUAAUAAAGUAGGACUUUGGUUCUAUUUUGUUGGUUUUAGGUACCAAAGUAAUGGUUAAUAGGAACAGUUGGGGGCAUUCGUAUUUAACUGUCAGAGGUGAAAUUCUUAG